CAGAGAGGCAUGUUCAGGGAAUGCGGGAGCACAGAGAAGACUCGCCAUUCCCAGGCCUGGGAGUGGGGUGCCGGGAGAGGGAGAGAGGAUGCUUCUUGUGGAGAUGGCUUCUUAGUUCACUCUGAGAAGACGAGGGUGAGGAAUCUUAUUGAAGUGGGAGAGGGCAGCAGACUAGGACUUGCCAAGGACACCAGAGAUAUCCGGAAGCCACUGAUGCUGUGUUCUUCAACGAAGCCCCCAAGAAUCAUGCCGGUCCUGAUCAUUCUGCAAAAUAUUUAAAUAUAGAGGAAUGAAUGAAUAUGUCAGCAAAAACAAGUACUUCCCCCAUUUGUUUCAAAGUCUGAAAAACCCUAAUAAAAGCCAAAUAAUAAAGUCCAGUUCUUUCCCUAUUACAUUGCCUUCUGCAAAAUGCACUGAAGAAUAUUUUUAAUUUUUUGACUGGUCAAAUGGCCUCCACUUGAGCCCUUGAGGGUGGAGUCUGAAGAACUCUUCUGUUGCUCCUGGGCCAGGUGGUGUCAGCUACAAACUUCACUCUGCAGGGUUUCCCCCUAUUUCUUCUUAUUUUGGCUUUAAUUUCUAUUUUUUGAAAGAGAAAUGAUUAAUCUAUUUCAGAUU
rnacentral:lncRNA from 1 species